rnacentral:lncRNA from 1 species
GCAGGGCGCUCUGUUGGCUUCUCCAGGAGUGACUGUGCUGCUUUCCAAGAUGAAACCUCCCUUCCUUUGCAGUUCGCUGAGAGCUUCAGUGACCCUCGCUCAUCCUUUGGAGCCCUCUGCCAGGACGAGCCAGUUGUGUGUGGCUACUGGUGCCUGACCAUUCCUAUCCUGGCUGGAGUCUCCAGAGGUGAGUUUUUACUCUCUCCUCAGUGGAUUCUGACUUCCUGUGUCUGACGAGCCUGGGCAGUACCACAUCUCCUGAUACCACUGAGCAAAAGUGCCCCUGCGGACCCAUUCCACACCCAGCUCCUCCAAGAGCUUACCCAGGCGCUCAGGCGUCAGGAUGGAUGAUGAACUUUCCAAAAGGAAAAAGGUGGAAAAUCAUCGAAAGUACCAUAAACUCGCUCCCAGCUAAAUAAGUGUUUCCAUGUAGCAGGUGCAGAGUCAAGGGAAAUUAUAUUCCUGUACUCUUUAGCCUACCAACAAACAGCCUAUUAACCUCCUGUCAUAAUCUAGAUUAUUCUUGAAAGCAGAGCCUAAAACAGCAGUAGACACAUUCUAUGAGGAAAUAUGAUCCCGGGGAACAGGAAUGCGACAGAGGGGACCAAACGGAGAAAAGGGAAAGAAAAUCCAAGCAAAAUGAGGUGGUGUUAUUCAGUGGUCCAUGAGAGUUCAUGGCUACUUUGUGCAGCACCUCCCCAGGAUUCUUAUUAAACUUUGUCUCAGAGUUGUCUGCCUCAGGGACAGAAAGGAGAAGCAUUUAUCUCUCAGCAGCUAUCACCUGUGUUCUGAGGGCUACUCUCAUGGGGCUACCCCCCCACCCCCACCCCAGGAGAGCCCCACUGGUGCCAUAGCAUCACAUGUGCUGCACCAGAGGACAUUUGGAACAGGAAGCUAGAUUCUUGAUGCAUGCCUGAGGUGAGGGUGAAACCUGCCCAGAGCUGUUCACCAGAGCUGUGGCUGGAAUCAGACUGGAAGAGAGUUCAAAAGAGGCAUCUUAGAAGCCUAGCAAAUGUGCUGUUAGCCCUGUCUAAAUCCGUAUUCUCCUUUCUUUCUAUCAUUAGAAUUUCAUUGUCCAGAACAACAUUGGCAGAAGGAUUAAAUAGGAAGAUUAAAUGUAUUUCCUAGAAGCUGUAUGUUAAUAAACGCUAAACCUUGAGUGACAUUUAGAAGAAAAAGUGACACUAAAACUUGGAAAAUUAAAAAAUGAUUCUGAAGAGAAUAAAGAUGAGUAACAUUAAAAAAAAAUUCUACUUGAAACAUUUUACCAUCAGAUAGCAAUAUUAGAUAUCUUCUAAACUCAUGUAAUCUCAGAAGUAAUCAAUGAAUUGUUCAGAGAAAUAAAAUUAACCAUUUCUUAUAUUUCUGUGAGCCUUAUAGAUCAGUAUCAUUAAUUUUUCCUAAAAUACUGUUUUCUACUGUCACGUAGCACUCGAGAUAACAGAGAUUACAGCUAAUGAAGGGAGAAUUGAUAGAUGUACAGGAAGGAAAAAUAGUGGGAUAAUUUCCAUAACAUAAAUAGCUGUUAUUAAUAUUGGUUGGAAUCAGGGAGGCAGAAGAACUACACAUGGUGACUUGUUUCCCCUUUGAAGUUUUAUUUUUACCAGAAAUAAUUUUCUCCCUGCCUGUACCCGUGAGACAUCAUAAUCAUCAUCUCGUAUUUGGUCUGGAAUUCCCACCUUUGAGUCAUUUAAUAUGGAUUGAGCUUCUACUAUUUCCUACAUAUUGGCACAGUGCAUAUAUGAAAGACAUGCUGUAAAACAUCUCCAAACAUUUCAGAAUACAUACUCUUAAAGUACAAUCAGAACAUUUACCAAAACUGACCAUGUGAUUGAUCACAAAUCAUCUGAACAAAUUUCAAAAGACUGAAACCCUAUAAGAGUAUGAACCAGAAAUCAAUUAUAUAAAUAUUAAAAAAUUUCCCAAAUGGUUAUAACUUAAGGAAGAUACUCCUAAUGAUCCAGAAGUCAAAGUAUAGAUCACAGUAAAAUCUAGAAAAUACUUUGAAAUGAAUUCUAAUGAAAAUACAACAUAUCAAAACUUUGUGGGAUGCUGUGAAAACAAAUGCUUAUGGGAAAUUUAUACCUUUAAAUACAUAUAUUAGAAAGUUUGCAAAAGACUAGCAAUCAGUGUUUCAAGAAGCUAGGAAAAUAGUUGUGUGAAGCAGCUUUUCAGACCUUGGACAACUGGCAGCAAAGGACCAAUCCCUGGCAGGUGAAACAGGGUGAUCCUCCCAUUGCCUCUGGAUCACACUGAAGGAGGAAGAGCUUGAGCAGAGCAGAGCAGUCUUGCUGAGUUGAGGAGACAAAGAUUAGUAUCAAGUGGGACAGAUGUCUUGAAUUUUCAGGGCAGAGUAUCAGCGAGAAAGAAGAUACGUAGAGGAAAAAAAUUCAGAAAUUUAAAUACAGAUCCCUCUCUGUCCAUUACUGAACACUAAACAAUUCCCCAAACUAUUUUAAUUUUCAUCCAGCCACAUUGAAGAGUCCUCAUGGCAAACUCCACACUUUCACUAGGAUCCCAGGAAGGUUACACCUCACUUAAGUAGGGCUAAACUAGCCUUGCAAUAAAAUCUACCAUGGACUUGCUCAAAAAAACAAGCCUCAGUAAUACAAAACUGAUCCUCAGGUUACUUAACUAUCUGCCAAAACCUAGUCCAAAUUUGUUAGUUCAGGUCCUCCAAGAAGCACAUGCAAAUAUGGGAUUAGAUUUACAAGAGAUUUUAUUGAGAAAGGUUGAAAUAGGAAGCCAAAGCAGCAGAGUCUUCAGACUACCUAGCCUGUCUCACCCCUCUGAAAGAGAGGGAGAAGGAAAGAGGGUUGAGUAGCAAAGAGUCUCAGAUGGCAACCCAAUUCCAGGAAAGUUUCAGGUCAGAACUUGCUGCUCAGAGGAGUCCCAUGUUUCACAGGAAUAGGCACGCAUUAGGAUACCUGCUCCAUGGUUGUUCCAGUGAAAACAGCCCAUGGGAAAGUAGCCUCAGCACAAAGAUAAUGGAUGCAGAGAACAGCAGGGGCCCUCAGUCAGUAUGCUCCUGUCUGCAGGAGAUCUGGGUGGUGUACUUUCAUGGCUACCAUGGUCCAUGCCUUGUGCUGCCCAGCUCUCCCCAGGGAGCAAGGCCUCCAUGGUUCCUGUGGGUCUCUCUUCCUGGGGGGAGGCUUAGAAGAUGAAGGUUAGUAUGAUGAACUACAUCCCCUCUCAGGUGAUCUCAGGGCUGCAAGUGGUCCUUACCCUCUCCUUUCUCCACUAUCCAUUUUGGAUUCCCAUCACCUUAAUCACCUCAGCAGUUCUUAGUGGUUCACCUGAUCAUGUGAUAUAAACAUUAUCACAUCUAAGGGUCUGAACCCUUAGUAAUCAUUCCCUUCUGAGAUGCCCACAAGUGUCUGUUCACGAUUACAGUAGGGAAAGGGAGCAAUGGGAGAUACCAAGUGGCUCACCUGGGAUCCACACAUAUGCCUCCCCGUUCCACUUUGUGUAAGCAGCUGACCUCCUGCUCAUGAGGGUUGACGAUGCUGUGAAUAUGGUGAUUCCUCAUCUGCGUGCCCCUGGGCACAAGGAGUACAAAGUGCCCUAGUGGCAACCAUUUCUUUAGCUCAAUGGAAACAUUACUAUAGCCCAUGACAAGAAUAUACCUCUCUGGGAACCAAGACUCCAACUUACAGAGGGCAGAGCCACAGGGCAGGAAGCAUGCAUGUUUCCAAUAAGAAGUCAUUGGGAAUACUGUAAAUAAAGCCACUCCUUUUGCCAUUCCAUUUGACUCUCAUAAUCAUCCUAUUGGGGACACAACACCAUGAAGGUCUCUGGUUUAAUGAAUACACUGUAUCCUGAAGGAAGACAACCCAAUAUUUCAGAAUGUUGCCUAAAAACUCAUACUUUAGCUAUGACUUUAGAAGACUGUUUUACACUCUGCAAGGCUGACUACAUGUAUGAGACUGCAGGUGAUGUCUGCAGUAUGUGAUAGGACCAGGAAAUCCCAUGGUCAUGGGCCUACCCUUGUACCUUCAUCACCAUCAAGUGGUCUGAUACUAUGUAAGUGCUUUACAGUAGUCCUGCCUGAGGCUCUGCAGGUAGGAAAGGCAAACCUAUACCUGAACUAGGUUCUAUCCCUGUGAGGAUAAAUUACUAGCUCUUCUCAGAUGGGAGAGGCCUGUUAUAGUCAACUUGCCACCAGAUGACCAGUCUACUUGAGGAACAGUGCCAUGUUGAGGGGUCAGUAACAGUCUCUGUGGCUGACAGAAUGGACCUUCAGAGGCCACAAUAGCUGGAUCAGCCUUGGUAAGUGACGGCCCAUGUGUUGAGCCCAUAUAUAAUUUCCAGCUCUGCCAAGGUAGCUAUUCCAUUCAUGUGCCUGUCAUAGGGUGUCUGAUAACAAAGCCUGACUAACUUCAACUAGACAAAGACAUUUUAUUUGUUUGGUGUUUAAGUUAUCCCUUCCAAAAUGGAUGCUUUCUUGUGGAUGUUAAUGUGUGAGACAAAAAUCUUCACAGUCUGUGUCCACUCCCAUAUGUCCAUCCACAUUCCUCUACACCAGACUUACUUGGCUCCAUUAUCCAGACCUUUUUUCCAUCCAAGCCCCUGAACAAGUCAAGUCAUUAGCCACUGGCCAGUAAACUACGUAUUCUCAUUUAGAACCAGUUCUCCUCUGCAUCAAGUAGAUGACCAGGUAUGCCACUCACAACUCUGCUUAUUAGAAAGGCUUGCGGAGUUCCCGUCGUGGCGCAGUGGUUAACGAAUCCGACUAGGAACCAUGAGGUUGCGGGUUCCGUCCCUGCCCUUGCUCAGUGGGUUAACGAUCCGGCGUCGCCGUGAGCUGUGGUGUAGGUUGCAGACGCGGCUCGGAUCCCGCGUUGCUGUGGCUCUGGCGUAGGCUGGUGGCUACAGCUCUGAUUCAGCCCGUAGCCUGGGAACCUCCAUAUGCCGUGGGAGCGGCCCAAGAAAUAGCAACAACAACAACAACAAAAAAAGACAAAAAAAAAAAAGAAAGGCUUGCCCUUUCCAGUGACCUUCAACUUCAAGGCCACUCCUGGUCAUAACUAUAAUGCAGCCAACUAUUUCUGAUCCUCUUUCGUCUUUGACUGGGAUUGAAAAGUAUACAUACAUCAGAUCAAUGGACACAUACUAGAUACCUGAGCCUUUUUUUAUCUCUGUUAUGAAUUGUACCACAUCUGCACAGCAGCUGUAGUCAGGGCUAAUGCUGGAUUAUACUUGCAGUAGUCAUUCUCUCUAGUUUCUUCAAAGCCCAGACUAGCAAAAUAAAUGGAAAAAUUAUGGAGACCACCAAUGUUCUCCACCUCCCUCAACCCUGGCCAAGUGUUUUUGAUUUCCUAUCUUUGCUGAACGAGGAGGAAUUUCAGAGGUUUCCAAAAGGAAAACUUAAUAUUCCUCAACCUGUUUUAUAAGACAAGCAUAACUUUGAUACCAAACCUGACAAGGAUAUUACAAAAAGGGAAAAUUACAGAUGGAUCCGACAUAAAAGAGGAUUGUCAAAUCAGACUUGAAGACUCAUAGGAAUUAGAGAUUUUUACCCAUGAUAAAUUUUUGCUAAUAAUCACAAGAAUAUAAGCAAUCGAGAGGCAUAGGCAAAGCAGGGAGAAGUCCUGUACAAUGUCCAUAUUUCCCAUUUCCUUCCUUCUUGCACUGGAUGAGCUAUUAGCCCAAGCUGGAAAGAUACGUACUCUAAGGGAGGUCACUUCACACAACAUGGAGCAUUUUAGGUGAUGAUAAUUCCCAUUUUAUACCCAGGUAAUUGUAUAACAUAUGUGAUACUUUCCUGAGAACCAUGCCCCAUAAAUGCAUGGAUUGUGAUUUUAUUUGCUGUAGUCAAUUCUAAAUCAGGGAAAUCCUACUGAAAGUACUUCAUAGAUAAGGACUCAUGUCCUAGUAAUUAAUAUUACUUUAUUUACAUAAAGUCUCUUAUCACUAUGUUUACAAGGUUAUUAGCCUAGCUUAUUUGUUUGCUUUCUUUCCUGAAAAUAUUUCCAGGAAAUAUAAAUUGGAGGCAAGCCAUGUAAUUCUUUCUUACUCAGAAGUCAACAGACAUCACAAAUGUAGGUGCUGAAAUGCUAAAUGAAAUAUUCAAAUAGAAUCUGCGACUUGUAAAGAGGCUAAUACAUCAUGACAUUGGUUUAACAUUUAAACAUUAACAUAACAUAUAACAGAAAAAAA